rnacentral:rRNA from 1 species
CCCUUAGAUGUUCUGGGCCGCACGCGCGCUACACUGUUUGAUUCAGCGAGUCUUAACCUUGACCGAAAGGUUUGGGUAAUCUUCUAAAGUCAAACGUGAUGGGGAUCGAUCAUUGCAAUUAUUGAUCGUGAACGAGGAAUUCCUAGUAAAUGCAAGUCAUCAGCUUGCGUUGAUUACGUCCCUGCCCUUUGUACACACCGCCCGUCGCUCCUACCGAUUGAAUGAUCCGAUGAAUACCAUGGAUUGAGAGUACGAAUAGGUUCGCUUAUUUCUGCUGCUCGAGAAGUGGAGUAAAUCUUAUCAUUUAGAGGAAGGAGAAGUCGUAACA